AGUACUAAAGGACCACUCAGGGAAGAAAAGGCCACUGCAGAGAAGGUAAAUGAAUUCUUUGCAUCAGUCUUCACUGCAGAGGAUGUGAGGGAGAUUCCCAGACCUGAUCCAUUCUUUUUAGGUAACAAAUCUGAGGAACUGUCCCAGACUGAGUUCCCAGUAGCACAGGUUUUGG